rnacentral:rRNA from 1 species
AGGGUGAACGCUGGCGGCGUGCUUAACACAUGCAAGUCGAACGGUGAAAGAGGAGCUUGCUCCUCUGGAUCAGUGGCGAACGGGUGAGUAACACGUGAGUAACCUGCCCUUGACUCUGGGAUAAGCGUUGGAAACGACGUCUAAUACCGGAUACGACCUCCGAAGGCAUCUUCUGGAGGUGGAAAGAAUUUCGGUCAAGGAUGGACUCGCGGCCUAUCAGCUAGUUGGUGAGGUAAUGGCCCACCAAGGCGACGACGGGUAGCCGGCCUGAGAGGGUGACCGGCCACACUGGGACUGAGACACGGCCCAGACUCCUACGGGAGGCAGCAGUGGGGAAUAUUGCACAAUGGGCGCAAGCCUGAUGCAGCAACGCCGCGUGAGGGACGACGGCCUUCGGGUUGUAACCUCUUUAGUAGGGAGAAGCGAAAGUGACGGUACCUGCAGAAAAGCACCGGCUAACUACGUGCCAGCAGCCGC